AACGAACGCUGGCGGCAGGCUUAACACAUGCAAGUCGAACGGGUGUAGCAAUACAUCAGUGGCAGACGGGUGAGUAACACGUGGGAACCUUCCUAGGGGUACGGAACAACUCAGGGAAACUUGAGCUAAUACCGUAUACGUCCGUAAGGAGAAAGAUUCAUCGCCCCUAGACGGGCCCGCGUCGGAUUAGGUAGUUGGUGGGGUAACGGCCUACCAAGCCUACGAUCCGUAGCUGAUCUGAGAGGANGAUCAGCCACACUGGGACUGAGACACGGCCCAGACUCCUACGGGGAGGCAGCAGUGGGGAAUCUUGGACAAUGGGCGCAAGCCUGAUCCAGCCAUGCC
rnacentral:rRNA from 1 species